rnacentral:rRNA from 1 species
GACGAACGCUGGCGGCGUGCUUAACACAUGCAAGUCGAACGGAAAGGCCCUGCUUUUGUGGGGUGCUCGAGUGGCGAACGGGUGAGUAACACGUGAGUAACCUGCCCUUGACUUUGGGAUAACUUCAGGAAACUGGGGCUAAUACCGGAUAGGAGCUCCUGCUGCAUGGUGGGGGUUGGAAAGUUUCGGCGGUGGGGGAUGGACUCGCGGCUUAUCAGCUUGUUGGUGGGGUAGUGGCUUACCAAGGCUUUGACGGGUAGCCGGCCUGAGAGGGUGACCGGACACAGUGGGACUGAGAUGCGGCCCAGACUCCUACGGGAGGCAGCAGUGGAGAAUAUUGCACAAUGGGCGGAAGCCUGAUGCAGCAACGCCGCGUGGGGGAUGCCGGCUUUCGGGUUGUAAACCGCUUUCGCCUGAGAAGAAGCGUGAGUGAGGGUGAUGAGUAAAGAAGCAGCGGAUAACUGCG